UACGGGGGGGGGCAAGCGUUGUUCGGAAUUACUGGGCGUAAAGGGCGCGUAGGCGGCCUGCUAAGUCGGACGUGAAAUCCCUCGGCUCAACCGGGGAACUGCGUCCGAUACUGGUGGGCUCGAAUCCGGGAGAGGGAUGUGGAAUUCCAGGUGUAGCGGUGAAAUGCGUAGAUAUCUGGAGGAACACCGGUGGCGAAGGCGGGUCUCUGGACAGUUCCUGACACUGAGGCACGAAGGCCAGGGGAGCAAACGGG
rnacentral:rRNA from 1 species